rnacentral:rRNA from 1 species
AGUAGUUUGAUCAUGGCUCGAGGACGAACGCUGGCGGCGUGCUUAACACAUGCAAGUCGAACGGGCACUUCGGUGCUAGUGGCGAACGGGUGAGUAAAGCGCAGGUAAUCUGCCGCAAAGACGGGGACAACGUUCCGAAAGGAACGCUAAUACCGGAUGUUGUGUAGAUAUCGCAUGAGAUUUACACUAAAGAUUUAUCGCUUUGCGAGGAGCCUGCGUCCGAUUAGGUAGUUGGUAGUGUAAUGGACUACCAAGCCGACGAUCGGUAGCCGGUCUGAGAGGAUGAACGGCCACAAUGGAACUGAGACACGGUCCAAACUCC